GAGAGGAGAACCUGUUACUGGCUGCUCUGAGUGUGACUCUGGGGGAGCAGUAGGAUGUUUUCCCCCAAGGGGGCUCCCAUUAAGGAAUUUAAGCCUCUCGGGGUUUGUGUGACAGGAUUCUAAACAGCAGAUUAUUGCAAACGAGCGCAGAACUCGGGAAAGAGGAGUUGCUCUUUGCCACUGAAGCAGGCCAGCAGUGCCUUUCUGGAGCCCAAUGGCAGAGUUUGGGGGGCAGCUUUCUGGAAGCAUGGAGAGGCAGGGUUAUUGCUGCUUCAGGGCUGAAGCACCUCAGACUGUGACCGCCUCAGUGCCUGACGCCAGACCCAAGACCGAGUUCAGGACAUAGCAUAGGAACAGCCCAGCUCUUUCCACUUCACCGGACACCCCCGUGAGGGAAAGAGACAGUCUCCAUCUUGGAAAAUCAAACUCCUCAACUUUUGGCAGGUGUGGAUGGGCAUCUGAACAGAGCUUUUGAUUGUCUCUCUAAAGAAUAGAAGAACUCCAAGACAAAACCACAUAAAGAACUUCUUAACUCUUCUAUAGGACUAAAACUUAGUUGCAGCAGGUGCUGUGGAGGAAGGGAGUGGAUUUGUUAUCCUGGGAGAGGAUUCCUGAUGAAUCCAGGAUGAGUUCUGUCCCUUCCUCUCUUGCUCUCCUCCUCUUUCCCUCACUUCAUUUUCUGCCAUGGGAGAAUGCAGCACCAAGGCCCUUGCCAGAAGCCAGCACCAUAUGCUCAGAUUUCCCAACGUCCAGAACCAUGAGCCAAAUAGAUUUCUAUUGUUUAUAAAUUU